rnacentral:rRNA from 1 species
CCUACGGGCGGCUGCAGUGGGGAAUAUUGGACAAUGGGCGAAAGCCUGAUCCAGCCAUGCCGCGUGUGUGAAGAAGGCCUUCGGGUUGUAAAGCACUUUCAGUGGGGAAGAAAGCCUUGGGGCUAAUACCCUCGAGGAAGGACAUCACCCACAGAAGAAGCACCGGCUAACUCCGUGCCAGCAGCCGCGGUAAUACGGAGGGUGCGAGCGUUAAUCGGAAUUACUGGGCGUAAAGCGCGCGUAGGCGGUCUGAUAAGCCGGUUGUGAAAGCCCCGGGCUCAACCUGGGAACGGCAUCCGGAACUGUCAGGCUAGAGUGCAGGAGAGGAAGGUGGAAUUCCCGGUGUAGCGGUGAAAUGCGUAGAGAUCGGGAGGAAUACCGGUGGCGAAGGCGGCCUUCUGGACUGACACUGACGCUGAGGUGCGAAAGCGUGGGUAGCAAACAGGAUUAGAUACCCUAGUAGUC